UCAACAACAUCAAUUACCCAAAAAGAAAAAAAGGCAACAUAUUCAGAGUGUUGCUUGCAAAUGUGAAUGCUUGAGCAUAUGCCCACACACAACCUCAGAAAAGUUGUGGAAGUUUCAAAGCUUUCUGGUGUGUUCAUUUUGCUUGCACUCAUCCCUCCCAUAACGCGGGCACAACUGACAUAGCAUUUCUCAAGUUCCUUGUGGUUGGACGGAGCCAUGGGAUUAACUCUGGCUAAUGAAAUAUGAGCAGAAGUAACAUACAUGGGAUUCUCCAGUGUCUCCCUCUCCUUCCACCACUUCUUUCUGGCCACGUGUUCCAGAUGGUGCAGCUAUAAGCCGGUGGAGUCUUCACCUCCUCAAGUCCUUCAGUGACUAUGUGAAAUAGAGUCUUUGAUUCACAUGGAGAGUGUGUUGAAAUAAACUUGUGUUGGGUCCAUCC